CCCUUCCCUUCCUUUCCUGGCUGAGCGCUUUGAGCUAAGUGGUGAUGGCAGGCCUUCGCACUGAACCGGGAUGUGGGGCGGGGGAGAUGUGCAGCUGGUUUGUAAGCUGGAAAACCUGUGACUGACCUGCUUUGGAUUAACUGACAACUUUAGCACUCAAAGAACCUGAUUCUUGGAUCACUUGCUGACUAGAACAAAGGACAAGGAGAAAAUGGGCAGCCUUGAAUGUACAAGUAGACAGACAUGUUUUUAUAGAGGACACUAGCUGUAGAGGCAGGUAGUUAUGGUUCCCUGGUGUUUGUCAUUCUGAUCUGUUAUUUUCCUGAGCAUAGACAAAGCCAGGUGAAGCUGGUUGGGAUCUUCAACUAGUUUUAUUCCCUCGUGUCAGAGUGACUUGAGGAACUAGUUACCAAAAGACAACACUUUCUGUGGAUAUGUAUCAGCUUUCCCAUUAGAGGUAGCUUGCAUGCCUACAUCUUUAUUAUUAUUUUUAUCCUGAGAAAUUCUCCCUCCUUUCCCCAUCCAUCUUACUUGGCAAACAUUUCUGAAAAAAUCCAUUAAAACAGAGCUUCAUCACA